rnacentral:sRNA from 1 species
GGAGGAAUAGGCCAUAUGUAGAGACAGAUGUGAGACUGAAGUCUUUUUUACAUAUAAAUAAUGCUGGGAGAGAAUGAGAACAUUUCUGUAAGGUGGAGGUUGGGGAAGAACAGAGUUCACGAUUGAUAUCAGUAAAUGCCAUUAUUUAGUGGAUUUGGACACCAUGAGCGAAACACCCCGGGAGCCAAAAUAUUCAUCCAAUAAAGAAGAAUGGAUCAGCUUGGCCUAUAGACCAUUCCUUGAUGCUUCUAGAUCUUCAAAGCUGCUGCGGGCAUUCUAUGUCCCCUUCCUGUCAGAUCAGUAUACAGUGUAUGUAAACUACACCAUCCUCAAACCCCGGAAAGCAAAGCAAAUCAGGAAGAAAAGUGGAGGUUAGCAACACACCUGUGGCCCCAAAGGACAACCAUCUUGUUAACUAUUGAUUCCAGUGACCUGACUCCCUGCAAGUCAUCGCCUGUAACAUUUGUAAUAAAGGUCUUCUGACAUGAAUACUGGAAUCUGGGUGCUCUGGGCUAGUCAAAGUCUAUUUCAAAGUCUAAUCAAAGUCACAUUUGCUCCCUGUGUGUGUCUCUGUUCUGCAUGUAAACUUUUUGCAGCUAGGCAGAGAAAGGCCCUAAAGCA